rnacentral:lncRNA from 1 species
UACAUACGCAUACAUACACAUACAUCCACGUACAUACGUACGUACAUAUAUGCAUGCCUACAUAUAGCUGGAUAGCUAGACAAAUGUAGAUAUAAUAGCGUUUGUACAGUGAGUUGUGUGGUUGAGCAAUGUGCGAACACGUCUCAGGAAGAAUGAGUGAAACUAAAAGAAAUUUAGAAAAAAUAUGGAAGGAUGGUUGUGUUUAUUAGAUGCGAACGAAUAAGUACGGUGUACGAUAGGAGCAACAACUAUUCAGACAUUCUCACACAAACACUGUAAUAUAGAGGUGGGUAGAGGCGCUUACGUUAUGGGUCUUUUGCACACGAAUACAUACAUUUGUCCCUCGAUAUAUGGAGGUUCACCUAUAGAGAUUUAUUAUUUAAGCAUUGGUCAAUUCCUCCGUGGUGUUGUUAUCCAUUUAUAAUAAUAAUAUAUAUAUAUAUAUACACAUAAAAAUUACAAAAGUAAUAUAUAUGCAUAUAGGCACAGGAGUGGCUGUGUGGUAAGUAGCUUGCUUAACAACCACAUGGUUCCGGGUUCAGUCCCAUCUGACAUAAGGCACAUCUUGCUCCUAUAGAAGUAGUGUCGAUUUAACGGAGGGAAUAACCUUAUGUGAACGCAAACAUUUGAUCACUGUAAAGAAAUUAUCAUAUGCGUAAGAGUUCAUGCGUGGCACCUUGGGCAAGUGUCUUCUACUAUAGCCUCGGGCAGACCAAAGCCUUGUGAGUGGAUUUGGUAGACGGAAACUGAAAGAAGCAUGUCGUAUAUAUGUGUAUAUGUGUGUGCGAUUGUCUUCUGUGUUUGUCCCCCCCUCCUCCAACAUCUCUUGGCAAUCGAUACUGGUGUGUUUACGUCCCCCUAACUUAGCGGCUCGGCAAAAAGAAACCGAUAGAAUAAGUACUAAACUUACAACGAAUAAGUUCUGGGGUCGAUUUGCUCGACUAAAGGUGGUGCUCCAGCAUGACCUCAGUCAGAUGACUGAAACAAGUAAAAGAGUAAAUGAGUAUAGCCGCAAAAGUGGCUGUGUGGCAAGUAGCUUGCUUACCAACUACAUGGUUCCGGUUUCAGUCCCACUACGUGGCACCAUGGGCAAGUAAGUGUCUUCUACUAUAGCCUCGAGUAGACCAAAGCCUUGUGAGUAGAUUUGGUAGACGGAAAUUUAGAUUCAGGUGAAUUAGGUAUCCAAGUUGAGACCCAGAAUUCAGUACGGUAUUAUCCAUACAGUUUCAAAACAAGGUGAUUAAAAUUAAAAUAAACAACUUAUAACCUGUUGCUUGAUUUGAUUUAUAGUUGUGUGUGUGUGUGUGUGUGUGUGUGUGUGUGUGUGUACGUAUAUGUUUGUGUAUCUGUGUUUGUCCUCCCAGCAUCCCUUGACAACCGUUGUUGGUGUGUUUACGUCUCCGUAACUUAGCAGUUCGGCAAAAGACACCGAUAGAAUAAGUACUAGGCUUACAGAGAACAAGCCCUGUGGUCAAUUUGCUCGACUAAAGGUGGUGCUCCAGCAUCGCCGCAGUCAAAUUACUGAAGCAAGCAAAAGAAUGAAAGAAUACAGUACAGUACUGUUUCUACUUCACUGAUUGCAGGGGUUUUUAAUAAUAAUAAUAAUAAUAAUAAUGAAAUUAUUGCAUUCAGUGCUCAGGUGCACCACAACUUGUCAAAAGUGCGUAUAAAGCUUAUGCAGUAAAGUACAAAUGUCUGGAAAGUGAACAAUGUCUGAGUCAGAUACAUGCUUGUGUGUGUAUGAAGGAGAGAAAAUCAGGUGUAGUGUUGGCGAAUCUCAGGAAGCAUGGAAGUUUUGAAGGAUGCAGUGCUCCGACAACUAACAAUUGAUGCCGGUAGUUUGUUCCAUGCUUCAGCAACUUUUAGUGUGAAAAAAUGUUUCCGAAAGUCAUGGGAGCUGUGCUGUUUUCUGACUUUGUAAACAUGUCCACGGGUGUUAGACAGGUGGAGUUUGAAAAGGUGCUCAGAGUUAUUGUUAGUAAGAUGGUUAAUAAUUUUAUGGGUGUCUGCCAAGUCAGCUGCCAGACGUCGGAGUUUCAAUGUAUCCAUACCCAGGGAAGUAAGGCGUUCAGAAUAUGGCAAAUGUCUGAUGGAGGGUAUUCUCUUGGACUGCAACACCCACGAUAGUCAAGGGAUUACUCUGUAUACAGAUACAGAGCGAUCCCUUGAAUACCGCGGGUGCUAUGGAUUGAUUUAAGGAUCUAUUGUUUACAAUACUAUCACGUGGCAAAGCAUGCGUAAAGAAAUACGGUAAGGUAAAAAAAUUAUUAAUUGAUAAUUAAGUGUGAUACAAGUACCACCAGUACGCUAGAAAUAGCAGUUGAAAGACGACUACAAUUAGAAAUUUUCACUGUUCCACAUUAACUGAAAUCGGGGGGGAAUGUGCAGAAAUUCUAAGCCCCCCGUACUAAUAACGAAAAGAACCGUGAAAAUUAGUGAAAAUUGGUGGUUGCAGUCGUCUUCUGGCUGCUAUUUUUAGCAUUCGGGUGCUAUUUGUUGCUCAAUUCAUUAUUUAUACAGAUAGAUAUGUUUGUGAGUGCGUGUAUGUGUGAGAGAAAGUGUGUGUGUGUGUGUGUGUGUGUUUCUGUGUCUAGAUCUAUUUUUGUAUGUAAACAUGAAUAAACGUAAAUGUCUAUCUUAAUAUAUAUGUGCGUGUGUCUAUCACGUAUAUCGCUUAUAUAUAUAUACAUAUGUGUGUGUGUAUAUAUAUAUAUAUAUUUUGUCGCGUAUAUAUAUGUGUGCCUGUAUGUGUAUAUACAUAUAUGUAUAUUUAUAUGAGUGUGUGUGUGUGUUUCUGUGUCUAUAUUUGUUUUUGUAUGUAAACAUGAAUAAACGUAUCUGUGUCUACCUCAGUAUAUAUAUGCGUGUGUGUAUCACGUAUAUAUCCCACGUGUAUGUGUGUGUGUGUAUAUAUAUGUGUGUAUGUGUUUAUAUAUAUUUUUAUCGCGUAUAUAUGUGCCUGUAUGUGUACAUAUGUGUAUAUACAUACAUGUAUAUGUAUACAUGAGUGUGUGUGUGUGUGUGCGUAUGUGCAUACACCCACGGUUAUACACCCGCAUACUCACACACCUGCACGCAGUUAAUUUUGUAGCCAAGUCUGUUCGUAUCUUAAUUGACUAAGUGCUCAGAAGUUGUACACAAUGAUAUAUGUAUUUGAAUAUGCGUGUAUGCGUAUACAUUCAUAUUUGUAGCGAUGUAUAUUUCUUCGUAUGUUUGUAUUUAUUGCGUUAGAAUUUAUGUAUAAACAUGUUUACAUACUUUAUAUAUAUUUUAAAAAUAAAUAUAUAUAUAUAUAUACAAGUAUACAUACACUCACAUAUGUAUAUAUAUAUGUAAGUAUAUAUGCAUAAAAGCAUGUAUGUAUCUAUGUAUGUGCAUAUGUGUGUAAAUGUUGAAAUUCUUUGAUUAGUUGUAAUGUCUAGACAAAACUAGACAAUUUCCAAAUUGUUCUUCAGAUAGGUGAAUAUUCUGCAAUUGGAGAAGUUCAAGGGAAACGCCCGAAUCAGAUACCGGCCAAUUACUUCCGGCUAAUUUGUUUUGGAUGCAAUUCCGAAAACUGUUGGAACUACGCGGAUAAUAAAUGAAGGUAAUCUUUCGCAAAUGAUGUUUCGUGGAUAUAGUUUCGCUCCACGAAUUCCUCUUUAGCAACUGAUUCCUUCAACGAUAAAGCAGAAAUUCAUACGAGGAAAUUAAAUUGAUGGGCAUGUACUUUUUUUUUUUUUUAUGUGAAAGGUGGCCAUGCGGCAAGAUUUCUUCCCAUACACAUGGUUUCGGAUUUAGUUCUCCUGCGCAGCAUUUUGAGCAACUAUCUUCUAUAAGCCUCGAAGGGUGUAUGAAAUGCUUUGAGCCUUGUACUUUCAUCAGAAGUCGUGUACCAUGCUUUGUUAUUUUGAGGCUCAAGAUGUUUCAUACACCUCUUAUAUAUAUAUAUAUAUAUAUAUAUAUAUAUAUAUGUAUGGAGAGUUUAUGAAAAAAAACAAUAGAUGAAAACAGGUGGUGUACAAAAUAAACAGAUGUAUUAGUAUAACGCUCAGGAAUAGAAAAAGUCUUUUACGUUUCGAGCCUACGCUCUUCUACAGAAAGGGACACAGAAAAAACAAGGAGAGAAAAAAAAGGAGAGAAAAAAAGAAGAGUUUGUAUGUAUGUGUAUAUAUAUAUAUAUAUAUAUGUAUUUGUGUGUGUGUGUCUUUGCGCCUGUGUUUCUUUCCCACCACCGCUUGAUAAUGGACGUUGGUGUGUCGACGUUUCCGUAUCUAGCAGUUCAGCAAACCAGUACGACACAAUUUCAACUGAUAUGCUGGAAUAAUUUCAUACGCACGUUUCAGGUCUGCGUAUUGAAUACUACGAAAUGCACAAAUUUACGUAGUACGUAAGAUCUUCCUCAGUAAAUAACAUAUACGAUCGGCUUCUCUCAGUUGAUGAGAUACACAAUAGCAGUCAGUUAUUGACUUUUAUUCGUCUUUGCGAGUGUGAUAAGUGUGUGCGUGGCGUGAGUGUUUGUUUGUAUGUGCGUGUUUGUGUAUAUAUAUAUAUAUAUAUAUCUUCUGUUGAGUCUGGGAGAGUCAUUCUCUUUUAGUGCCUUAUUAUUUAACACACUCAGCGGUAAAAUUUCCACUUAUUUCUUAUUUUUAUACUCAUAAAGAAUCUUGCAAACCAAAUCCAAAAAUGAAAUAAUAUAUAUAUAAACACACACACACACAUAUAUAUAUACACACAUAUAUAGAUACAUAUAUACAUAUGCAGAUAUAUAUAUAUAUUGAUAGAUAGAUAGAUAGAUAGAUAGAUAGAUAGAUAGAUAGAUAGAUAGAUAGAUAGAUAGAUAGAUAGAUAGAUAGAUAGAUGGAUAUGUGCAUGUUAUCUUAUGUUUUAUUUUCUUAUUUUUCACUAUAAAAUAGGUGUUCUGUGAGUCCUUAGGCUAAAUAACAAAAUACUUGCUCAAGGUAAACGCAGUGGGACUGAACACAGGAUUAUGUGCUUCAAAAGCCAUCUUCUUACCACACUCCCACCCUGCAUAGAUGCCAGAGACGUUGUAGAAAAAAGUGCUGUAUGGUCACGGAUGUAGGCUUUGCUUAUAAAAUGUGGCAUUCAGUUUUCAGUUGUGGUUCACCUGAGUCUAAACAAUGACGGCAAUCGACAAGAAAAGCGAAGGAGUCAAUAAAAUGCCGUGAUGUGGCGGGUCUAUUUGGUACAAAAAAAUUACUAAUAAUCUUCAGUUACAAUCUAUAUGCGCAAGUAACAAAUAAUUCAUUGAGAAAUUUCGUCAUUGCUUUCCAUAAACUACAUUAUUUUCGCUGGUGGACAAGCCUUUCGUCACUAGCUUGAUUUCUUUUAAAGUAGCAACAACAGCGCCACUUAAAAAAAACAUAAAUGUGUCUGAAGUAUUAUGUACUGUACUACCAUUCUCUGUGUGAAAUAAAUAUUGUUUUACGUCUCAUAAUAAGAGUUGAAGCUUACUGAUUUUUAUUUCAUUAAGAAUAACAUAUUUCACGAUGGGGAAACUUAAAAACUGAUUGGGAAAUAAUUACGCGGUAGGGAAAAAAAAUUACUAAAAAACAAAAAAAAAAAUGACUAUUAGCGACGGAAGCAGUAUUAGUGCCAAAGGGAAAUCUUUAUAGCCAACUUAACGUGGCUGUCUUCUUCGACAAGACAACCACGUUAAAUUAGAUAUGAAGAUUACAUUUCUUCCGUCGCGGAUAAUUAAUCUUUAAUGAGCUUGCUUGGCUAUUUGCGAUAUCAGUGACUGAAAAGAGACUGAAUUUCUGUAUAUUAUGGCAACUUGUUGAAGAGGAGUUGAAGAAUGAUAGAAGUAGAAGAGGAAUGUGAUACGGGCUUCUGAGAUACUCUGAGCUAUUUAACAGUCAAGAGAGACUCUUGCUGUCCCCACCGAGAAAACAAAGAAUUCAUAGUCCCCAAUACUCAUCUUUUACCGCAGUGUUUCUCAAACAAAGAUCCUAGUGAUGUCCCCGGGGGGCGGGGGGGCUGCCAUUGAGGAUGUGUACUAAACUGAGGUAGCGUUUUUUGGAAGUUCCGACACCUACAACAGACGAUUCUCCGCUGCUAUGAUUUAUUUCUGUUUCCAUGCACCAUGCGACUAUACGACAGGACGACUCAGGGUUAAAAGCAACAUUCAGCGUUCUAACGAGUCGUUAGAUAUAAAAAUAUUAAUUAUUAUUAUUUUGAUUACAUCUAAGGCAACGAGCUAGCAGAAUCGUUAGCACGCUGGACAAAAUGCUUUGCAGUAUUUCGCUUGUUGUUACGUUCUGAGUUCAAAUUCCGCAGAGGUCGACUUUGUCUUUCAUCUUUUUUGGGGCCGAUAAAUUAAGUACACGUAUUGGGGUCGAUAUGAUAGCCUUAACCCCUCCCCGCAAUUUUCAGGUCUUGUGCUUAUAGUAGCAAGUAUUAUUUUAAUUAGAUCUUUAACAAAAGGAUGACGGUUGUCUGUGAAAUAUAGCCAUAACGAAAGAUACUCAAGAAUUAGUAAUGGGAGAAUCAUUAUAUAUUUCUUUACUACUCCACAAGGGUCUAAACACAGAGGGGACAAACAAGGACAGAGAAACGGAUUAAUUUGAUUACAUCGACACCAGUGUGUAACUGGUACUUAAUUUAUCGACCCCGAAAGGAUGAAAGGCAAAGUCGACCGCGGCGAAAUUUGAACUCGGAACGUAACGACAUACGAAAUACGGCUACGCAUUUCGCCCGGCGUGCUAACGUUUCUGCCAGCUCGCAACAUGCAUACGAGCGGCCUUAUUUUCGUAAAGUGCUCUACUGUUGUAUGUAUCUAUUUAUUUAUUUAUUUAUUUUGAAUGAGAAAAAGUUGGCUGUCCCUCUCUCGAAAUUUCAUUUUCUAUAUAAAAUGAAAGAAAAACGCUCACAAUGCCCCACCGUAGUUUUGUUUUCAGAGCAACGGAAGAGAUUCCGACAGAUUUAAGCACACACACAGACACACAAACACAAGCACACAUUCGCAAAGAAAAACAAAUGUCAAUAAUUGAAUGUUAUUGUUUAUCGACCUUGAUAAGAUAAAAAGCAAAGCAUACAUCGUUACAGGUUGAACUACCAGCGAAAAGAACCAGCGAAAUACAACGUAAAGCAAUCUGGGACUUCUGUUCUCGUAGGCGAAGAAAAACAAGAAUGUUUUGAUAAUAAAUUAGACGGAAAUACGAUCAUUAAGUGAGUAUUAAAACAAAAACGCAUGCUUUUGCAACUUUUAAUUCCGACUUCUAUUUUUAACAGGUUAAAAGGUGGGAGAUUGUACAGCUCUUUGACAAGUUUUAAAGAUUUCGAGACGAGUGCUAAGAAUGAAGUUGUUCUGAAAUCGGAGAUAUGUCACGAAUUUUUUACGAAAGAAUAAAAAUCUCUUAUUUCAGAAAUGAUCAACCGUGAUGUUAAAUAUUCCCACGAUUCUAGUUUACCAUUAAUUCUUCUUAAUUUUCACUAAAGGCACAAGUGCUGUUGUAGUUUACCAUUAAUGAAAAGAAAUACAAUUUCAUUCAAGCUUUCCAAGCUGUUUCCAUGUUUCACAAUUUUGCCCAGAACGGUUUUCGCAGCUAGAACUAUAGUAUAAAACAUUAGUUUCUAAUUUUGUCACAAAGCCAGCAAUUUCGGGAGAGGGCUCAAGUCAUUUAAAUCACCCCCCCGUGUUUAAGAGGUAUUUAUGUUAUCGAUGCCGAAAGGAUAAAAAGCAAUGUCAACUUCGGUGUCCAUUUUCUGAGUCCCCGAAGACGGACGAAAUGCCGCUAUGCUUUUUGUUCGCUAUGCUCACCGCCUUAAUAUGGUAUGGCACAGUGGCAUGAAUUAUUUGCUCAAUAUGCCGAUUAGUAAAAUCGAACUACGCACCAUUUGUCUCUGAGGUGAAGCCGUUUACCACUUAGCUAUGCUUAUACCAACAAAAAAAGAAAAUGAAAAAAUGUUAGUGGUGGCUGUGUGGUAAGUAGCUUGAUUACCAACCACAUGGUUCCGGGUUCAUUCCCACUUCAUGGCACCUUGGGUAAAUGUCUUCUACUAUAGCCUCGGGCCGACCAAAGCCUUGGGAGUGGAUUUGGUAGACGGAAACUGAAAGAAGCCCGUCGUAUAUAUGUAUAUAUAUAUAUAUAUAUAUGUGUGUGUGUGUGUGCGUGUUUGUGUGUCUGUGUUUGUCCCCCUAGCAUUUCUUGACAACCGAUGCUGGUGUGUUUACGUCCCCGUAACUUAGCGGUUCGGUAAAAGAGACCGAUAGAAUAAGUACUAGGCUUACAAAGAAUAAGUCCUGGGGUCGAUUUUCUCGACUAAAAGAUGGUGCUCCAGCAUGGUCACAGUCAAAUGACUGAUACAAGUAAAAGAAUAAUAGUUGUCUUUAUAUUUUGUUUAGUUUUAUGGUUAUUUUUAAUGUGAAGAUGGACAUCUCCAUAUCAAAGUGUGAGGCGUGAACCUCUUUCAUUCGUUGUCUUGUCAUAUUUCAGUAGUAGUAGAAGCACUCCGUCGGUUACGACGACGAGGGUUCCGGUUGAUCCGAUCAACGGAACAGCCCGCUCGUGAAAUUAACGUCUAAGUGGCUGAGCACUCCACAGACACGUGUACUCUUAACGCAGUUCUCGGGGAUAUUCAGCGUGACACAGAGAGUGACAAGGCCGGCCCUUUGAAAUACAGGUACAACAGAAACAGGAAGUAAGAGUGAGAGAAAGUUGUGGUGAAAGUGUACAGCAGGGAUCGCCACCAUCCCCUGCCGGUGCCUCGUGGAGCUUUAGGUGUUUUCGCUCAAUAAACACUCACAACGCCCGGUCUGGGAAUCGAAAUCGCGAUCCUACGACCGCGAGUCCGCUGCCCUAACCACUGGGCCAUUGCGCCUCCACUGUCAUAUUUUAUUUUCUUAUUAAAAAGAUAAAUGCGCCCUUUUGUUUCCUUUCCCAUUUCAACCAUAAACAUCUCAUAUGUUAUGAUAUUCCGCCGUGGUCGACUUUGCCUUUCAUCCUUUCGGGGUCGAUUAAAUAAGUACCAGUUAUUCACUGGAGUCGGUAAAAUCGACUUAAUCCGCUUGUCUGUCUUUGUUUGUCCUCUCUGUGUUUAGCCCCUUUUGUGUAGUAAAGAAAUAGAAAUAGAUAUUGUUCUAUGUAUACUACAGUACAGGUGUGCGUUAGCUUUUGUAGACAGGAUAGAUGCCGUUCAAAGUAAAUAUUUAUCUCAACAUCUUAAUAUAGUAUAGUCGCAGGCGUGGAAGUGUGAUAAGAAGUUCGCUUCUCAACCAUAUGCUUCCCGGUUCAGUCCAUGGAGUUGACUCAUCACCUUGGGCCGACGACAGUGUUGUUAGUGGAUUUGGUCGACGGAAACUGAAAGAAACCUGUGUUUGAUAUAUAUAUAUAUAUAUAUAUAUAUAUCCGAAGAAUGGGAUAUCUGACUCGCUAGAAAGAGCAGUUAAAACUCUAAGCCACCAAUUGCAGGGUCUAGGAUUAAGGUAAAAUUUUUUAUUUUCCAAUCACUUUCGGAAUUACAACAAUUGGUGGCUUUGAGUUUUAACUGCUCUUUCUAGCGAGUCAGAUAUCCUAUUCUUCGGGUAUCUCUGUGUUUCAAUGCACACUGUAUUCUUCUCUGAAUAAUGUAUUGUCUAUUGACUGGUAACUAAGAAUUUUUCGAUGAAUAUUCUUGCUACCAUAAGAUUUUAAUUAAUGAUAAUAUAUAUAUUAUAUACUAUACAUACACGUAACUGUGUGUCUGUGUGUACUGUAUCUGAAUUUGUUUCCCAGUACCGCUUGCCAACAGGUAUUUCUGUGUUUAAGUCCACGUACUUAGCGGUUCGGCAAAAGAAACCAAUUGUAUAACUACUAGACUUAAAAAACAAAAAUUAAUGACUUGAUGGAACACGACAAAUAGGUAAGACGAACUAUGUUCAAGUACUGUCUGCCUCUGUAUGUGUUAUGGGCGAAUCUUGUACAACCCCACGUGACCGAAAGAGGGCGAACGGAUUUCGAUAAAGAACUCUGUUGUGAACUAUCGAGGGUAUUGGACAGUGUUAAUCGACUGUUUUGUCCACUGUGUAAGUUCAACGUGUGUUGGUUUAAUAUCGUACGUACGCUGGAGUAGUACGGAAUAAGUUCUGUGUGAACAUAAUAAUUCUGCGAUCGGUUAUUUUAAAUAAACCACAAUCUAAAUCUAUAUUUGUGUGAAGCUAAUUUACACCCGACGUGUACACCCACGUUAUAACAGUAUAUACAUAUGUGUGUAUGUGUUUUGCGCUUUGUUGCCCGCAACAGCUUGACAGAGUUGUUUUGUGUACGUCUUCGUAGCCUAGCAUUUCGAAAUUACAGACAGUAUAUGCACCCGACUGUAAACUAUUUAAAUACUGAGUCCCUUCAUUCGACAAUUUUAAUUGAGUGGUUAUUGCAUUAAGAUUAAGAGUGAUUCUCUAUCUGUAAUAUAUAGCUGGCUAUUCGCCCUCAGGUCAUAGCUUAUUGACUCUGAAACAAAAAAAUGACGCAGGAAUCACGCAAUAAUACAGGGUCAGGCAAAAUGAUCUGACACAUUUGUAGGUUAAAUAAAAGGCAUUGUUUUUCGUUUCUUUUUCAGUUGCUGCCAUGAAUUGGACUGGUGAGCAUCGCGCUUUCAUUGUGGAAACGCUUAUCAAAACAAACGAUUCUGUAACUGCAACACAAAGAGCGUUCCGUUUGCACUUCAAUCUUGGUAGACAUG